rfam:Schistosoma mansoni strain Puerto Rico chromosome 6, complete genome
GCACUGCUGAAUAGUCCUACAAUAGGACGAAACGGCCGUCGAGUGC